ensembl:snoRNA
CAGCCAGAUACUUACUCUGCUAAUCUGAAUGUGUUUCCAUAGAAAUUUAGAAGCAGCUAGUAAUAGCUAUGCCAUUUUAUGAACCUUACAGACAACUGAAGUCAUUAUGGUCUCUCAAAAUGGAUAAAAUA